GCGCGGUGUGGGUGUCAUGGCGGCGCGGGCAGUGGUGGCGCGGAGGCUUUGGCAGCGCCUGGUUCCUGCGGCGCUGUGGGCGCGGCCGCGCCGCCUUCAGCAUGAAGGGCCUCCUGAGGGGCAGCCUGAGCGCUCGGACCAGCCCAUACAAAUGGACAACCCCUAUAAAGACCCUCCAAAGAGAUGUGUCUUAUGUGGAAUAAAUGUGGACUAUAAGAAUGUUCAGCUUCUUUCCCAGUUUGUUUCUCCAUAUACUGGUUCCAUUUAUGGCAGGCAUAUCACAGGCUUGUGCAACAAGAAGCAGAAGGAAAUUACAAAAGCCAUUAAAAGAGCUCAUGUAUUUGGAGUAGCAUGUGGUAUGAAGGAUUUCACUUGAAUUACUCAGUGCACAUCCACUCCAAUCACAUCAAGAGGGUAAUGAAAAAUACAUCUGGCAUCUGCUUAGUGAAAUUAUUAAAGAGCUUGUAGCCUUCACGCACAGAAUUUUAUAAGCUCCAAAUGAGUGAAGCAUGUGGGAUCUUGGAGCUUUGAUCUGGCUGUGGGGUUUUGACUACUGUCCCUUAAAACUGAAAGCUGUCAUUUACUGCCGAAACCAAGCAGGCUAUGAAAAAUUCAGACACACUAACC